UACGUAGGUGGCAAGCGUUGUCCGGAUUUAUUGGGUUUAAAGGGUGCGUAGGCGGCUUUGUAAGUCAGUGGUGAAAUAUGGCAGCUCAACUGUCAGGGUGCCAUUGAUACUGCGGAGCUUGAGUACAGAUGAGGUAGGCGGAAUUGACGGUGUAGCGGUGAAAUGCUUAGAUAUCGUCAAGAACACCGAUAGCGAAGGCAGCUUACUAGGCUGUAACUGACGCUGAGGCACGGAAGUGUGGGGAUCAAACAGG
rnacentral:rRNA from 1 species